rnacentral:lncRNA from 1 species
ACAGCACAGGGUCCACUUAGCCCCUGUAUCCUGCGUGGUCCCCUUUCCUGCUGGGAAGCAGAUAUCCAGAUGAGCAGCAGAAUCCUGUCUCUCCCUUCAGGCCCCUCUGCUCCUUAUGAGUGGUGUUUUCCCUUGGUUUUGGAUAAGAAACACCCUUUCCCCUUCCACAGGGAUUGUUUCUGUGGACCCCACCCUGAGUUUUCCCCUGGUUAGGCAAUGGGCAGGUGGGGGUGGUGGGACCAACUCUUUAGAACCAGCAAUGACAAACAGAUCCCACUUGGGGGAAGUUGAUGUUAAGUGUCAUGGGUCCUCUGGAAUUUCCUGUUUUUUUUUUCUCCCCCUAACCAGCUCAACUGAUCUCCUGGGAUCUCUACUAAGAUGUUGGCAGCCCGGCCAGCUGGUCUGGCCCUGGACGUGCCUUCAGGGUCUGGUUAUGCUUCAUGACCUGCAUUGUGGUCAGUGGUAAGCAGCACCUGCUUCUAGCUUUACUGUUGGGUCAGAUUUUAUCCCCACUCCAGCUCUGCAGUGUAGCUGCUUCUUGAUUCAUCCAUGGACCCUGCACGAAAUUGCCCCAUGUUUCUGUUUGUGCAUCACUGAGGAAGGAAGCAUGAAGGACGCACAGCUCAUCUCACUCUGGUAAUGUCUUUGAUUACCACCACCAUCUGACCUGGUCUUAUGACCUGUUAGCUUCCUUCAUCAGAUGUGAGCACCAGGAUGGCAGGGGCCUCAUCUGUCCUCUUCCUCCUGUGGCCUGGGUCCUAGCACCAUGUCUGCCAUUUUGCAGACUUUGAUCACAGUGAAACGUUCCAUGGGAACUUGGGCCAUGAGAAACAUCCUUCCUAACCACGUGACUGCAGAAACAUCCUUAUCACAUCCUCCUGGGCAAAGGCCCAACAGCCUGACUGCAGGGACAUCCUUGCCAUAUCCUGCUGGGCAGCAAGCUCUACCACCCAGAUCCCUCCCUCCCAGUCCCAUGAUUACCCCAGCCUGUGAGUGGCAGUUGGUUCUGGCACUAAGCUGGUUUCCUCCUCCCC